AGAUUCAAGAUAUGAAUCCACAAGACUCUACUACAGAUGAUGUAGAGUCAACUAUGCCUACACAAAGUGGUACAGCCGUACCUCCACCACCCAAUGAAAGUGGUAGACAUAGGUCAAUGGUUUGGGAUCACUUUACUAAAAUACCAAACGGUGAUCCAAGUAAACUUAGGGUUAAAUGUAAUUAUUGUACUGCUUUGUAUGCAUGUGAUACGAAGACCAACGGUACAAAGUCCAUGAAAUAUCACAUUGAGAAACAAUGUAAGAAAUGUCUUUUUAAUAGGACGGAUAAGUCUCAAACUACUCUAACUUGGAAGGCGGAUGGAGGAAGUGGUAGUGGGGAACUUGUGUCUAUAGCCUUUAGUGUUGAUGCUUGUAGACAAAGUUUAGCAUAGAUGAUAAUUCUUGAUGAGUUACCCUUUAGGUUUGUUGAAUGAGAGGGUUUCAAGAAGUUUAUGCUUAUUGUUUGUCCUAAGUGGGUAACGAUUCCAUCCCGUGUUACGGUUGCGAAGGAUUGCUUUAAUGUGUAUAUGAGGGAAAAAAAUAAGUUGAGAAGUGCUCUUCAAGGGUAACGAAUUUCCCUCACUAUGGAUACAUGGACAUCCGUGCAAAAUCUCAAUUAUAUGUGUCUUACUGCACACUUUAUUGAUGAUGAUUGGAAUCUACACAAGAGGAUUCUUUCUUUUUGUUUGGUUGAGAAUCACAAGGGGGAUACACUUGGUAAGGCUAUUGAGAUGUGUUUGCAUGAUUGGGGGUGACCAAAAUAUCUUGCUAUCACACUUGAUAGCGCAAGUUCUAAUAAUGGUGCAGUUUCUUAUUUGAAGAAAAAAACCAAGUAUAGGAAGGAUACUAUUUUGGAACAUGAAUUCUUGCAUGUUCGAUACUGUGCCCAUAUCUUAAACUUAAUUGUUUGUGAGGGGUUGAAGGAAUUUGAUGAGUCUAUUGCGAAGGUGAGAGGUGUUGUAAAAUAUGUGAAGUCUUCACCUCAAAGGUGGAGUAUGUUUAAAAAAUGUGUACAGUUGAAAGAAUUUACACGCAAAAGUGGCAUUUGCUUAGAUGUACCGACUAGGUGGAACUCCACCUAUCUUAUGCUAGAGAGAGCUUCAAAAUUUCAAAGAGCGUUUGAACGGUUGGAAGAAGAAGAUUCGGCUUUCCUUAUUAGUAUUGGAGAUGAUGAUGACGAUGAUGAGGAUGAUGUGAAGCAAGUAGUGAAUAGGAGAACGUCAAAAAAGUUGGGGCCUCCCAAUAAAUAUCGAUUAGGAGAAGGCAAAGUUGUUUGUAAAGUUUAUUAAACUAAUUCAUGAUGCAAUUUUAACACUUUUCAGGGGGUCUAUAUGCAACUUGCAACUCUUUUUUUCCGGAGUUAGCUACAAUAUCCGAUGCAAUUGAUUAGGAGUGUCAAAAUCAAAACCUUGUGGUGGGAUCAAUGGCUACAAAUAUGAAGAAAAAAUUUAACAAAUAUUGGGGCAACUUGGAUAAUAUGAAUAUGUUGUUGUUUGUUAGGAUUCUUCUUGAUCCUCGGUACAAUAUGCGAUAUCUUGACUUUGAGUUGGAAGGGAUGUAUGCCCAUGAUCCCACAAAAGAAGUUGAUUUGAGUUGUUCAGUGAAGAAUACUUUAACCCGCAUGUAUGAGGCAUACCUUGCAAAUGAAGAAGUGAGCAACUCUUUACAACAACAACAGCAGCCUAGAAGUUUAUCACGUGAAAAUGUAAAUCUUACAGGUGAAGAUGGUGCAAGUACAGACGUGGACGUUCGUGCACAAAGAAUGGCCAUAUUUAAGCAACGGUUGCAGUCGGAGGACUCUCUUGAAAGCAAGUAAGAGGUUGAUAGAUACCUAGAUGAAAAGUGUGAGACAGACAAUGUAAGUUUUGACAUUCUAGUUUGGUGGAAGGUUAACUCAUUUAGAUAUUGUGUGCUUUCAAAAAUUGUACGCGAUGUACUUGCAAUACCAGUCUCUCCAGUUGCCUCUGAAUCUUGCUUUAGCAUGGCGGGUCGUGUUCUUGAUCCUUUCUGAAAUAAUUUAUCUCCAAUGAUGGUUGAGGGCCUCAUUUGUACACAAAACUGGCUUCGUUCUUCAUCUAUUCCAAUCAGCCUUAGGACUAUAAUGGAUGAUGUGGAGGAUUUUGAGAGGCAGUUGGAUAUGGCAUUUGCUCAGGAGGGUGAAAAUUCUAUGGAGGCGUCAAAUACAAUGUCUACAUCUAAUGCAAAUUCAUGAGCUUUGACGAGAUCAAGUGUGCCGUUUAGAGAUCAAAUCUUAGUUAUUUGUUAUUUGUAUUAGUUAUUAUUUAGUCAUUUGUAAUUUGUAAUAUCACUUUAUUAGUUAUUAUGGCUAGAAGCCUAGAUGCAUGGAUUGUAAAUUGUAAUAUUUUUUGUGUCAUUUGCUUAACUUUUUUUGGUUUCUUAUUUUAUUUUUUUUUCCCUUUUAUUUGGACUUUUGGAUGUUUAGUUGGCAUGUUUAGUUAAGAAUUAGAUGUACUCUUUAACUUUUUUCUUUUUCUUUUGAAAUAUGGAUGUUUAGUUGGCAUAGAAUUAGAUGUAUUAAAUUUCAUUUGAUAUAAAAUAUUGCUUGUAUGUGAGGAUUUGACAUGAAUUGUUGGAUUUUUUUUAUUUUUUAUUUGGAUGUAAAAGUGGUGCUCUUGAGGUUUUAAUGAAGUCAUGGGUCCUUUGCAAGUCAUUAAUUUAGACAUUAAGUCAUGGUUCUUUUGCAAUUUAUGCGUCUUUUUCAAUUUUUCUUACUUUUUUUUUCUUGUAAAAUCUUUUAUUCAAAUUUAUUGUAUAUAGAUAAUUUUCUUUUUAUGCUUAAUUUUAUUUUGCAUUCAAAUCUUUUUUUUUUUUUUGUAUUUUUUGACUUAAAAUUAGAUAAAAUAUUAAUGGGAUUUCACUGUUGGGCCGAUUGGGC